rnacentral:lncRNA from 10 species
CUGGGAGCACCUGUGGACUCUGACAGGCCGUGAUUUUGGAAAUUUCAACUGAACUGGAGACCACCAUCCCGUGCCUUGACCGGAACGCAUGGAGAUAGCAAUCAAAGAAGAUGGCCAGUUCACGCCUGUAAUCCCAGCACUUUGGGAGGCUGAGUCGCGGAUCACUUGAGGUCAGGAAAUCGAGACCAUUCUGGCCAACAUGGUAAAACCCCAUCUCUACUAAAAAUACAAAAAUUAUCUGGGCGUGUUGGCACACGCCUGCAGUCCCAGCUACUCUGGAGGCUGAGGCAGGAGAAUC